rnacentral:rRNA from 1 species
GUGUCAGCCGCCGCGGUAAUACGUAGGUGGCAAGCGUUAUCCGGAUUUAUUGGGCGUAAAGCGAGCGCAGGCGGUUGUUUAGGUCUGAUGUGAAAGCCUUCGGCUUAACCGAAGAAGUGCAUCGGAAACCGGGCGACUUGAGUGCAGAAGAGGACAGUGGAACUCCAUGUGUAGCGGUGGAAUGCGUAGAUAUAUGGAAGAACACCAGUGGCGAAAGCGGCUCUCUGGUCUGUAACUGACGCUGAGGUUCGAAAGCGUGGGUAGCAAACAGGAUUAGAUACCCUGGUAGUCCACGCCGUAAACGAUGAAUGCUAGGUGUUGGAGGGUUUCCGCCCUUCAGUGCCGCAGCUAACGCAAUAAGCAUUCCGCCUGGGGAGUACGACCACAAGGUUGAA